rnacentral:misc_RNA from 1 species
CUGCCCUCAAGCACGGCUUGUGUGUUGGGCCCCGUCCUCCGAUUCCGGGGGACGGACCCGAAAGGCAGCGGCGGCACCGCGUCCGGUCCUCGAGCGUAUGGGGCUUUGUCACCCGCUCUGUAGGCCCGGCCGGCGCUUGCCGAUCAACCCAAAUUUUUAUCCAGG